CGGUAGUGGGGGAUAACGUGGGGAAACCCACGCUAAUACCGCAUACGUCCUACGGGAGAAAGCAGGGGAUCUUCGGACCUUGCGCUAUCGGAUGAGCCUAUGUCGGAUUAGCUAGUUGGUAAGGUAACGGCUUACCAAGGCGACGAUCCGUAGCUGGUCUGAGAGGAUGAUCAGCCACACUGGGACUGAGACACGGCCCAGACUCCUACGGGAGGCAGCAGUGGGGAAUAUUGGACAAUGGGCGAAAGCCUGAUCCAGCCAUGCCGCGUGUGUGAAGAAGGCUUUCGGGUUGUAAAGCACUUUCAGCGAGGAAGAAAGCCUCUGGGUUAAUACCCCAGAGGAAGGACAUCACUCGCAGAAGAAGCACCGGCUAACUCCGUGCCAGCAGCCGCGGUAAUACGGAGGGUGCGAGCGUUAAUCGGAAUUACUGGGCGUAAAGCGCGCGUAGGUGGCUUGGCACGCCGGUUGUGAAAGCCCCGGGCUCAACCUGGGAACGGCAUCCGGAACGGCCAGGCUAGAGUGCAGGAGAGGAAGGUAGAAUUCCCGGUGUAGCGGUGAAAUGCGUAGAGAUCGGGAGGAAUACCAGUGGCGAAGGCGGCCUUCUGGCCUGACACUGACACUGAGGUGCGAAAGCGUGGGUAGCAAACAGGAUUAGAUACCCUGGUAGUCCACGCCGUAAACGAUGUCGACUAGCCGUUGGGACCUUUAAGGACUUAGUGGCGCAGUUAACGCGAUAAGUCGACCGCCUGG
rnacentral:rRNA from 1 species